GCGAGCGUAAUUCAGUGGUAGAAUGACAGCUUCCCAAGCUGUAUAUGGGGGUUCGAUUCCCCUCGCUCGCU
rnacentral:tRNA from 1 species